CGCGUAGGCGGUUCGCUAAGUUGAAUGUGAAAACUCUGGGCUUAACCCAGAGCCUGCAUCCAAAACUGGCGAACUGGAGUACUGGAGGGGAAAGCGGAAUUCCUGGUGUAGCGGUGAAAUGCGUAGAUAUCAGGAGGAACACCGGUGGCGAAGGCGGCUUUCUGGACAGUAACUGACGCUGAGGCGCGAAAGCCGGGGGGAGAAACA
rnacentral:rRNA from 1 species